UGCAUUGUGUUAUUUGAAGCUUGA
rnacentral:miRNA from 1 species